CUUAUCCAGAGCGGUGGAGGGACUGGCCCUACGAAACCCGGCAACCUUUUCGGUAAGGUGCUAACUCCAGCAGGUUUUUUCCUGAAAGAUGAGU
rnacentral:ncRNA from 1 species